ACCCGGGUGGCUCAGUCGGUUGAGUGUCUGACUUCAGCCCAGGUCGUGAUCCUGCGCAUUGUGGGUUCAAGCCCCACGUUGGGCU
rnacentral:tRNA from 1 species